rnacentral:ncRNA from 1 species
CAGAUGGGACGACCCACCUGCGCUUCUUUUAUCCGGGGACGACCCUA